UUAAAGGAAUUGACGGAAGGGCACCACCAGGAGUGGAGCCUGCGGCUUAAUUUGACUCAACACGGGAAAACUUACCUGGCCCGGACACUGGAAGGAUUGACAGAUUAAGAGCUCUUUCUUGAUUCAGUGGGUGGUGGUGCAUGGCCGUUCUUAGUUGGUGGAGCGAUUUGUCUGGUUAAUUCCGAUAACGAACGAGACUCUAGCCUACUAAAUAGGGGACCGAUCAAUUCUUGUCGGUCCGUCUUCUUAGAGGGACAAGCGGCUUUUAGCCGCACGAGACAGAGCAAUAACAGGUCUGUGAUGCCCUUAGAUGUCCGGGGCCGCACGCGCGCUACACUGAAGGAAGCAGCGUGCUCAUCGCUGUCCGGCAGGACUGCGUAACCCCUAUAACCUCCUUCGUGAUAGGGAUAGGGGCUUGUAAUUGUUCCCCUUGAACGAGGAAUUCCCAGUAAGCGCGAGUCAUAAGCUCGUGUUGAUUACGUCCCUGCCCUUUGUACACACCGCCCGUCGCUACUACCGAUUGAAUGAUUUAGUGAGGUCUUCGGACUGGCGCUCGGAGCGACCUUCGGGUUGCGCCGGCGUGCCGGAAAGAUGACCAAACUUGAU
rnacentral:rRNA from 1 species